UAAUGUGAUCAUACUAGCACUAAAGUACCGGAUCCUAUCAGAACUCCGAAGUUAAGCGUGCUUGGGCGAGAGUAGUACUAGGAUGGGUGACCACCUGGGAAGUACUCGUGUUGCAUUCC
rnacentral:rRNA from 1 species